rnacentral:rRNA from 1 species
UACAGAGGGGGCAAGCGUUGUUCGGAAUUACUGGGCGUAAAGGGCGCGUAGGUGGCCUUCUAAGUUGAACGUGAAAUCCCUGGGCUCAACCCAGGAACUGCGUCCAAGACUGGGAGGCUUGAAUCCGGGAGAGGGAUGAGGAAUUCCAGGUGUAGCGGUGAAAUGCGUAGAUAUCUGGAGGAACACCGGUGGCGAAGGCGGCAUCCUGGACCGGUAUUGACACUGAGGCGCGAAAGCCAGGGGAGCAAACGGG